rnacentral:tRNA from 1 species
GAGGGUAUAGCUCAGCAGUAAAGUGCAUGCUCAGCACGCACAAAGUCCUGGGUUCAAUCCCCAGUACUUCCA